UUCACCUGCAAGAGACAUCCCACCCAAAAAGUGAAUGGAACAAGUCCUGACAGAUCCAUUCUGUGGUGAAAAGCACUCCAGUGCUCAAAGUCCUGUUCAGGGAUCACAGAGAUCACUCAAACCCAACCUUAAGGCAGUCAAUUAACUGUUGCCUCUUCAUUUUCAUGCUGUGCAAUUAAGCUGAUCUUAGUCUUUAAGGAGAGCAUCCUUGAGUCUGGCUAAUAUUUCAGAGGGCAAAACUCUCCAGAGCAGCUAUUGGGUCUGUGCUGUGUGUGUUAGGGCCACAACAGCAGUGUCAGGUGUUUAGGGAACUGCCUUUAAGCUAAAUCUGACUUUGAAAAACAUGGUAGGCAGCCACCAAGAAAAUAGUUUUGCUUAAAUACAGCGUGAGCCUUAAAUAUCUUACAGAUAUUGGCCCUCAUCCUUUGUACUUAUGCACAAGGCUCAAGGGAUAAAUCCUUUAUGUACUGCACAGCUCAAUUUGCCUCUGAAGGUGCUCUUAUCAUUGAAAAAUUAAUGAGCUGGAGCUGAAGCAAUGUCUAUUGCCCAGUGUGAGUCACACUUCACUGCAGCAAACAUUCAGCUCAUGUCAGCUUUUCCCCAUGCAAUGUCUCCCUCCUCAGCACCUUCAUUCCUGCCACGUUGCUGGCAGGAUCUCUCUCUCUGGAGAAGAUGGGAGAGUUCUACCAUGCUACUGGCUCAGAAGCUGUUUGAGAUCCUGCUCUUACCUCAGUCAAGAAAGUCUUCUGUGUUUCCUCAUCACAGCGAAUCAGCUCCUUCAUCACCAUCACCUUUCCUGUUGCUUUGUGAGUCACCUGGUGGAAACAAAACCCACAACUACAGGCAAGGUUCAAGAAUACACAGCUCCAAUGUUCCUGCAACUUCUUUAGAAGUGCACAUUCCCCUCCAUCCAGAGAAGAAUAGAGAUGGGAGGAAAUUCAGAGCCCAGGGAUCUGCUGAAAACCAUGUGAAACUUCUCCUUUUGGAAUUCACUGAAUCUGCUGUAUGUGAAACAGAAACUACCUAAAGCUGACAGAGCACCAUGCCAAGAUCCAGAGCUGAAGGCUCCAGUUUGGGCAGCACAGGGCUGAGUGUGCACACAGGCUGCCAAAGCCUCCACACUGGUGCAUGCUCCAAGUUCCCUUAUGGAACAGAUCUGUCCAGAGGGAUGCUCACAUUUUGUACACAGGCUUCACUAACUGCAUUCUGUAUCAGCAAAAGAAUCAAUGUUCAUUUGCAUCAGAAACCAAACCAAAGAACCCAAAACUGCAUUAUAAAUACUUUGGCUUUAUGGGGAAUCUCAUCCACAUGCAAGUGGAACUGGAAUGCACAGGCUGUUCAGUUAAGGCAAGAAGCAGUUAAUUUUACCUUGCUUCUUUGGAGCAGUGUGUCUCAACAUGCAAGGAAUGUCCUAGAACAGUGCAAAACACAAAGAAAUCCAUCACAAUAAUAAGGUAAUAAAUUUCCUGGCUCUUGACAUAGAAAGCAUUUCCAGUUCCUCAAGAACUGUGUGCCUGUCUCCAACUAGUUCCUGGCAUUUUGCUGUAUUAUGGAGGCUUUUUGUAACCAGCUCAGGCUUGCUUGCACAGGGUGCAGGAGUGAGUAGAAAGGAUCCAAAUUCCUAUGAGCAUGUUUUCCUGGAAAUCCUCUCCUCUUCAUUUGCUUAACUUGGACAGCUCUGGUUCCCUAAGAUCUGCAGUGAACUGAACAACCACCUUGCCUCUCUGAUCAGAAGAGAAUUAUGUGACCAGAUACAAGACUUGCUGCAUCACACCCAGUCAAUCUGAAGCCUAAGAAAAAUGUCACUUUUUUUUUUUUUCUUUUUUAAGGUAGGAGGCAAAAAAGUCCUUUAGAAAACCUCUAGAACUAAAAUCCAGAACACAUGACCCAGUUACAGUAUUUAGGAAGCUUAUGAGUUCUUGCAAACACUGUGACACACCAGUUGUGUUUGGAGCCAUGGACAUCACAAAGCUGACACAGGUGGAACGUGAGUGCAUGGAACAACACAACAGAAGCAAGAGUACAAUAUUCUUCUGCUCCCAUCUGAAAUCAAGCAUCCAUACACAGAACUUCACCAUGAAUCAGGUCACAGGGCCGGAAGAUUUGCUGGGAGCAGCUGGAAGAGGAGCGCAGGGAUUCAGAACGACUGAUGUCACGGCUCAGAAGGAGAGGUUCCUUUGGAGAGCUGGGGCCCGGAGACUUGGAAAUGCUGUUACUUCUCCUGGAAAACAAGGAGGACAGGAAGAUCAGGGAAGCUGCUGGGUAACCUUUGGUCCCAUCAUUCAUUGCAAAGGGACCACUUUCUAAUGUGCUCCAGUGCUUUCACUAUCUCCAAACCCAGAUGCUCUCCCAGGACUGUGGAAGCUCCUUAUGAAUCCAGAGCAGCUUCCAAGUCAGAGCUGCCUAACAGCAACAACAAGCUCUGCUGCACUGGCAGUCUGAGGUGGAGCUCUGAGAACCGGGGGAGGAAGCUGUGAAGACACAUCACUUGCUAUCUCUAAACAAACUGGUAGGAACUAAA